GAAGAAGAAGAAGAAGAAGCAGAGAAGUGGGUAUGGGUGCUGUAAUGGGGAUUUCGUUAAAGCAAAGAAGGUGGUCCUCCUUCAAUUUACAAAAGCCAAGAAAUAUCUGAAGCACCGCAGGACAAAAUCCAUUAAGGGGCCUUCUUCUUCUGAGAAUGCAAGUACUGCUACUAAUAUAGGUAAGAGGGUUGUUGUUGGUUGUUGCUUUUGUUUGAAGCAACCUUCUACUUUGGAAUCUCCUGCUGAGUCUCAAACAAGUGAUCCUAAUGAUCCUAACUUCACCUUUGAUAAGUUGAGGACUUUGAUUGAGACGAAUGAUUUCUAUUCCAAAGAAUGCAACCACCAUUGAAAUGCUACUUCUUUCUCCUCUUCUAAUAAAAAUUCUGGGUGAAAGUUAAGGGUUUUUGCUAAAUUGAUUUGAAAUCAAGCUUCAGAGAGGUUGCAGCCUUGCGGGAAUUAAUAUAAAAUCAUAUUGGGUUGAUGAAUUUUGUGUUGUUAGAAAGAUUGGCUUGCUUUCUAUAAUUCUAUUGGGUUUUAUCGGCUUUGGGCAUUCAUUCAUUCAUUUAUUGGCGUUCUAUGUGAUGAGGACCAAGUGUGAUCAUAUAUAUAUAUAUAUUGGUUUCUUGAAUUUUCUCUGAGGUUUACCCAUGAACAAAUGGUGGAGCUUCAACCUUGUCUUCUCAACAAUUAUUCACCUUGGAUGAUUGGAAGCAACCUUAUGAUCUAUCAUACAUGCCUCUGGGAGUUUUGUCCACGUUAUCUGAGGAACGAAAUUCUGCUUGCGUUGGAACUGCACACGAAAAUUUCAGAUACAAGCAUAUUCGAACUACUGAAAUUUACAAGGGUACACACAUUAUAGGACAAAUGCUAGUGUGAAAUAAUUUGGUGGUACCCUUGGAAUUCUUCAAAUAAAUCUUGUUUCUUUUACAUGUGAUAUGGUGUUUAUCUGAUUCAUGGGCUGUGUUAGUAAUCUUCUAAGAAUCCAUUGACUGCGUUUUGGAAGUUCCUGAUCCUAUAAGGUGCAUGAUCAUAAUAUUUCUGGAUGAAAGAUGAAAUACAAAUGCAAUAUCUAUGGACUAAUUGGCGUCCUAACUACUUCCUCUGAGGUAAUGAGGUUUCUUUACGUUGGAACACUGUCAGAAAUCAGAAUAAUGCUUAUAGCAUAAAAGCAAUGCGCCUGUAUUUGAGCUUGAAUUUUACUUACAGGAAGAGGCCAUGAAGACCUUAUAGCAAUGAGGCACAUCAUCUCUGAUUAUUGUCAUGCACCUGUUGGAAAGUUUCCAGGAAUAAGUAAUUCUCAAUGUGUGCGUCCGUUAAGCUAAUCUGUAUUCGAUUCUGGAUUACGGCAUGUUUGUGCAGAACAAACAUGAAGGAUCUUAUCCAGGCUUGAAAUUGGGAGGGCAUUGAGUAUCUUUAAUGGUAGGGUUUGGUGAUUCUUGAUUGAAACUCUUUCAAGUAAAUAAGCCAUAUGAUUAAGUUCAGAUGGGAAUUCAUGACUGUAAUUGCACAUCAUUAUUACUUUGUGCAGAAACACCAUCUAAUGUUAUGGUGCUGUCACUAAUCACAGAAGUUGCAUUAAUUAUGAUCAAAUUUCUUAAAGAUAUAUUCUUUCAUUAAU
rnacentral:misc_RNA from 1 species